rnacentral:lncRNA from 1 species
CUCUGGUGGAAGCAGGAUUGAAGUAACUGGACUUCAAGCCUUCUCAUUUCAGGUGUUUUUGUUAAAGGCCAGUGAGUUUGUCCACAAGCCUCUUCCCAUGCAGCAGCAGUGCAGUAUUGCUGUGAGCUGAGUCACCCCACUUCAGGCGGGCGCUGGUUUCCUUUUGGUAAUGUGCAAAAUGUUCCCUGAGCACAUGUGUAUGUUCUAAGUUUGUGCUGCUGGUUGACAGUUUGUAGGCGCUUCGGUGCCAGAACCGUCUCUAAACACAGACAAGCACCUAUUGUGACGAGGCCCUGGGCUGGGGCCGUCAGGCAGCACUGCAAGGAAAGCAAUUAAUAGAACAAGAGGAUUGCAGUUAAGGUGGUUAUCGGGGGGGGAUUUAGCUGGUUGUGAUGGAGUUGGAGAGAAACAAUAUUUUGGAAGUAGAAGGGGAAAAAAAAGUUUGAACUCUUAGGGAGGAAGGCACCUGCUAAUGAACCCAACCUUCGUUGCAGCCUUCCCAGGUAGAAGCUAUCCCUGCAGACAUGGGUUGAACUGAAGAGUUUUGCAUGACCUGAGUUGCUGGGGAGGCGAGAGAGGGAGGGACGGAGGGGCCUAGCAUGCCUGUGAGCUGGAGCAAUUGGGCAAGGUGGAAAGAAAAGCAAUUAAACACACUUGGACUUGCUCGCAGAUGGGAGGGGUACUUUGUUUUUUACUGCUGCCCCAGGGCCCCAAAAUGCAUUGGCACGGAACUGCAGAGAAACCACUAAUCCCAGUCACCGAGGGGAGAGAGCAGGACUUUCUCGUUCUGUCCUGCAUGCCGAGCAUCGGGACCCCCAUGGCAGGAAGGCUGAUGGGAUUAGAGGAAACAGCUGGCUCGAGUCUCACCCUGCAGGAGCUCACAUUCCCGGGACUCGGGAAGAGAGGAGCUCCCCGCUGCUGAGUCGCAUUCCAGGUUUGUUUAGGAACUGCGUGAUGAGUUGCCCCAUUUGGCAAGAUAAGACGACUCCUGAAGAGCCCACUUAAUCCCAGGGAGCUGCACUACCACGUCGUACGUACCCUUCUGUGAAUGAGAGGUGGAGUGAACUGAGCAUGGUGGGGUGGGUUCAGCGCAGUCCAUGGCAAACCCAGCCUGGAGCUG